ensembl:piRNA 21ur-847 ncRNA
UAUAGUUACCAUCAGAGGUGG